CGGCGCGGCCCGACCCAGGCCUCGCGGCCUGCGAGUCAGAGCGACGGUUACGAAACCGGCAGCCUCCGCCCGUUCCGCUGCCGCCGCCAGCGCCACCGGGUUCCCCUCCUCGCCGCGGCCGCGCGCCCGGCCGCGACCGCCGCCGCCAUAACCAAUGGGAGCGCCGGCUUGCGGGGGACGCGCCCUCCCUCCGCGACGGACAGCGCCGCCAGCCAAUCACAGGCGGCCUGGCCGCGGGAGGCGGGCACGUGGCGGAGGCGUAGCCCACUGAGCGGUGGGGCGGGCGAGGCGGGAGCGACGGACUGGGGUUCCUCGGCCUAAUGCGCGGGGCGGCACCCCAGCGGUAGGCGACCCGCUGCGAGAAAGGUUCUGUGAAAGUUGGAGGCAUUGGAGAACCGUAGCCUCGUGAAGGCAACACCUGUCUCUGGAAAACACAAUUUGCUGAGGUGAACAGAUUGAGAGACGUGAACUCAAAAAAAAAUGGAUGGCAAACCAGCCUUAUUUAUCUAAGACGAUUCACAGGAGGAUCUGAAAGCGUAUUACAACUGGGAAGCAGCGCGCUGGGUGGAGGCAGACAGGUUUGAUUGCUUCCUUUUUAGCAAUUCUUAUCGUCUAAAAACUGGAGUCUUUGAAAGAGGAAAGGUUUCUUCAUCACCCAGGCCAUGGCAUCACCUCUCCGCGUAAGACGGUUUCGAGGAAUCAGUAAAGAGGUGAUAAAACAUUUUCGAAAAAAAUAAAGAUAUAAAAAUUAAGAGGGCUGCAACUAAACGUGAACACGGAAUACCACAGAAGCAGACUUGGUAGAAUGACACAAUAUCAUCAAAACCAGUACGUUUCUUUCACGUUGGCCCUUAGUGUUCUUAGUUGAAAUUUCUUUGAUCAAGAUUUUAGCACUAUUAAAACUGGAUUCGAUUUUGUUGCUCACAAAAUUAUAAUUUUACACUCACCAUGUCCUAAUCACUUUAAAAAUUGUAUAGAAAAAAAAAAACACAACCAUAUAGAGAUGUUCAUUUAUCCCCUGGUUUGCUAACCACUCUGCCAAGCUGCUCUGUGUCUGUCUGGGCAGGCCUUCUUCCACACUCAGCGGAUUAGUCAAUGCCAAGGAGACUAGAGUAUUUAUUUCCUCUUCAGCUGGUAGCUGGUAAUUCUGUCUUCUCAGUUUACAAAUAUUUAUUUGGUGCCAACUAUAUGCUAAGCUGUGGGGAAUCAGCAACAAACAAGACAAGCAGUCCCUGUCCACAUGGAGCUUACACUUAGAGGCAGGGAGACAGACAUUCAGUAACCGCACAAUUUUCUAAUUACCAUUUUCACAGCUAUUACAAGAAGGAAGUACAAGAUGCUGCGAGAGAUUAUAAGAAGGGAAUCAAACCUGGUCUGUGGGUUAUGGAAACACUGUAAGAUGAGCAGGAUUUGCCUAGGUGGCGCAGAUGAAGUGCAUGUGCCUUCAAGUUAGAGGGACUGUCUUAUCUAAAGGUCUUGAGAUGGGAGAAACACCUUUCUUUGGCUGAAGCACAGUGCCCCGGAGGAGACUGAUGAGAUGGACAGGGACUUGUGGCCUGAGAAGAGUUCUGAUUCUUACCCUAAGAGAGAUGGGAAUCCUCUGAAAGACUUGCUCUCACCAUAAGGAAAUGAAGAGAGCCUGGUGGAGCUGUCUCUAGUUUGAGGAGAUCCACCAUGUUGUGUCUUGCAAGUCACAGGGACGCAAGUCACUAUAAUCAAAGAAAAAUUCCCUGCAUGGAUCUCUGCCUCACUGAUACCUGCUACGUAGUCUGCAAAUCCAAAGAAUUUGUAAAGAAGUAGUACAUUAAAAUCCCCUCCAAAGGACUUGAGAAGUAGGAUCUCCUGCUAAUUGAAUAGGCUAGUUACCCGAGAGCUACUACAGUUAACUACUUAGUUACCUAACAGGUAUGGACUCUAGGGUCAGGCUGUUCUGUUCACAGCUUCACCUCUUACUGGUGUGUGACCUCAGGCAAAUUACUUAACCUCUCUGUCUUCUGCAAAUGGGGAGAACAGUGUCUAUCCAAUAGAAUUGUUGUGAGGAUUAAGGAGUUGAUAAAAGGGCUCUAGAACACUGCCCUACUGAUACAUGGUAGGAGCUCAAAAGUAUUAGCUGUUAUUACCAUGAUGCUCAUACAUGAAUUAUAAACAAAUUAUAUCCAUAGAAUUGUAAUAGACUAAAAUACACUUCAAAACAAAGUCGUGCUGUGCUUAAUAUUGCUUUGAUGAUUCAGGCACUGAAAUCUUCACAAUAUUGAAGGUGAUGUUGACUCGUUAGGGUAUCUCAAAAGUCGUUUUUAGAAUAAUCCCCUUAGUUACCACAUCUUAUCAUUUCACUUCUUUCCGCAGAGUGGAGAAAAAGUUUAGUAAUUUGAAAUCUCUUACUGUUUGAAAGCCAGAUCAAUAGAUGUUUACUAUGCAUACUUAAGUAUUUAUCUUAAAUGUGUCUUAAGUACUUAGGAUAAUACUUAAGUAUCAUAAAUGUGUAUUUGGAAAAUUUCUGAAAAAUUAAUAUACCAAAUUUACCACCUUUGACAGAUCUGGACUAUAGCUAUAUAGCAUUUUGAGAAUUGAGAUAAUAUCUGUCACAGGUUUGAGUCUCAGUAGAUAUGUUUUCUGGUAUGUUAGCAAUCACGGGACAGUGAUUGGCCAUCAUUCUGCAUUGGUUAGGGCUGUUUUGAUAGGAAGUAACUGAAAACCAUCCCCGAGUAGGCUUAGCAUAAAGAAGGAUUUGGUCAAAGAUUUUAGGGCAUUAUUCUUUCUUCACACGGCCACUAACAGCCUCAGUGUUCACAGCUUUGGUCACUAGAGAAAGGCCUACUCACCUUUUAAGUUCCUGUUACAAAAGUCCUAGGCAAGGACUCUGGGGUUGGUCCAGCUGGAUCAAGUGCUCUUCCCUGGAAUGAUCAAAUGGCCAGGACCAGGUCACGAUGUACUAACAUGGCAGCUGUGGAUGGGAUGGCAGAGGCACUUUCCAGAGGAAAAGGGAGUGCUGAGCAGACGAAUCCAUCAAUAUCCACUUCAAACACCAGCUCACACCGUGGUCACUCUGACAGAGCCUUCUGUCCUUUCCUGUAUCAUAUGAUUCUCCAUCCUUGAGGGCAAAAUUUAAACCUCCAAUUUUACCUUUGGAAGCACUAUUUAGAAUCAUAACAGCUAAGAUGCUAAACAGUUGUCUUAGGACAUCCCCAAAUUUCAUAAGCAGGUCCUGUGCGUGAAAGAGAAAAAUCUGACAUAGUUUAAACUUGAACGGGUGGCAAAUAGGGUGAAUGUCCAUUGUAAAGCACUUUUCCACGUGUCGGAUUUCAUUAUUUUGUGAGUUAAGACAUGUCACCUGUACAUUUAAGGGUAGUACAUGUCAUCUGUGCACACAAGGAUCGGUGUGUACUGUGGUGUGUACCUUGUGAGCACAUGAAGUUAGGUACAGACUGCACACAUGAGGAGAGCUGCAUGCAUCUGUGCUCAUAAGAGUGGCGUGACAUCUGUACAUAUCAGGAGAGGUAAUCCGUAUCAUGUUGUGGGCCUAGGAGGGUCUUAUUCUUAUAUCGUCACCCCACUGAAUAAGCAAUGGUUACCUGUUACAUAUUGAUUGUAAUGCAAGUUAUUCCAGUGCCUAUGAAGCACAAAAUUGAAGAUAAACAGAGGGUUUUUUGGUUUGUCUAUUUGUGACAUGUGAUACCAGUCUCCAUCAUAGUGGUGUGAUGGGUUUUGGAGAUAGAACAAGGUGAUGCUGGCUAGCAUUUACCUAGCUAAACCUCUGUUCCCCAUCUGUAGAGAGGGUUAACAGUAAAUUCCUCAUAGAAUUGUUAUGAGGAUCAAGUAAACUGACAUGAAAAGAAGCUGACGUAGUGCCUGGCACAUAGCAGGUACAAAAUAAUCUGUCCAUCCAAAAAGAAUUUGCUACCUAGGACUCUGUUCUUGGUUUCUAAUAACGUUCUCCAGUAAUAGCACCUGGGCUCCUUGGAGAAAUGGCUGAUUCUAGGAUUGACGCAGGAAAUACACAAGAUGAACCUGGAGCAUCUUGCAAUGCCAGAAAGUAACGAACACUCAAAAAGUAAGACAGUGAGGGUAUGUGUCUUAGCUCAGGCUGCCAUAACAAAGCAUCAUAGACUGGGUGGCUUAAACAGAGAUUUCUUUCUCACGGUUCUGGAGGCUGGCAAGUCCAAGAUCAAAGUGCCAACAAGGUAGAUUUUAUUCCAAGGCCUCUUCUCUUGGUAUGUAGGCGGCCACCAUCUCACUGUGUGCUCAUGUGAUCUUUGUGUGAGUGCUGGGAGAGAGAGAGACAUGCUUUCCAGUGUCUCUUCUUAUAAAGGCACUAAUCCCAUUAUAAGAGGGUCCUCAUGAGCUCAUCUAACCCUAAUUACUGCCCAAAUGCCCAUCUCUAAAUACCAACAUAUUUGGGAUUAGGGGGUCAACAUAUGAAUGUGGCAGGGGAAGGGUAAGACACAAACAUUCAGUCCAAAAUAGCGUGUCAAAGGGGAACAGGAAGCAAAUGGAAGAGCCCCUAAUGCCCAAAGAGUCUUAAUACCAAGUUGAGUGGAAAACAACUAAUGUAGUAUUGAAUUAUAACCCAGAGUAUAAAAGAAAUACCCAAGAGUCCAUGUUGAGGUAAAUAAAUAAAUGUUGGAGAAGAGAUGAGUCUCCCGUGCAGAAGAAUUCCAAAUAAUUUAUGUAGAUGCUCUGCCCUCAGAUGGGGGAGAAUCAUUCUUCACUCCUUAUGUACGGGCUGCACAUAGUGACUUCCUUCUGAAGAGCAGAGCAUGAAAGGGAAAAAUAAAGAGAAACUUCAUAGUGGAGAAACCUGACAAACACUACCUCAGCCAGGUGAGCAAGGUCACCAUCAAUUAGACAUAAGCCAUGUUGCUAUAAUGAGAUGAAAAGGGCACUUGACCUCCCAAGAACUCACGGUAGUCUAACUAUGAGAAAAACUCCACACAAAUUCCAAUAGAAGGGCAUUCUACAAAGUGUUAUCUGACCAGCACACCUCAAAACUGUCAAGGUCAUCGAAAACAAGGAAAGUCAGAGGAAGUCUGGAGAAUCCUAAGGGGAUGUGACAACCAAAUGUAAUGUGGUAUCCUGGGUGGGAUCCUAGAACAGAAAAAGGACAUUGGGUAAAAACUAAGGAAAUACAAAUAAAGUAGGGACUUUAUUGGAUAUUGUAUCAAAUUUAUCAGUCCCCCUUCUAGAGUCCCCUCAGCCUUGGCCAGCACGUCUCCUAGUCUAAGAAACUUACCUGUUGGGGUAACCUUCACCUUCAUUUCCAUGACCUUUUAAGACUUUGGCCGCUGCUCUUGUCCAUUUACCAUCAAGACUGGCAGGGGAUCAGUCACGCAAAAGAAACACUGGACAAAUAAAUCAGAAACUAAUGAUAUUGGUUACCUAUGAGGGGUGGAUGGGACUGAGAUAGAAAGAAUGGAGAGUAGGAAGCAGGUAGGAGGGAUGAGGGAGCGAGUGAUACCUCUGUGAAUAUACCUUUUUGUAUAUCUCUGACUCUGAGAACUGUGGUGAGGUUUCACAAACCCCAGAAACAAAUAGUUAACACUAACCAGGAUGUGGGAGGAACCCAAAAUGAAAUGUUGUACAAACAGUAACCAAUAACCUAACUGUACUACAAAUGAACAGCACAACCACACUGUGGCGAAGGGACUUCCUUGGUUGUCCAGUGGUUAAGACUCCAUCCUCCCAAUGCAGGGGGCCCGGGUUUGAUCCCUGGUCAGGGAACUAGAUCCCACGUGCAUACUUCAACUGAGAUCCCACAUGCCACAACUAAAGAUCCCACACGCAGCAACGAAGAUCCCGUGUGCGGCAACAAAGACCGGCGCAGCCAAAUAAAUAAAUUAAUAUUAAGAAAGAAAGAAAGAAAGGACCUAACCUGAGUAGCUUCAGAACACAGUAUUUUGAUUGGAUAGGCAAAAUACAAAAAGAACUGUACACCGAUGAUAUGCACUAGUUACUAAGUUUUUCAAAGGGGUAUUGGUUAGAAAUUCCGAAACUAUUUUAUGUAUAUGUUAGGACUGAUCAAUUAAGUAAAUACAUUUGGGUAAUGAGAACAGGUUUCUCACUUUGGAGAAAGGAGUUACAAAUAAAAAAAGAGCAAGACUAGAAUGAACCCUGUGGUGUUGGAAUCAGAGGCUAUCAGAAUGAAUUCAUGAUUUGUAGUAUAUUCGUAGAUUGAUAGAUAUAUAAAUAAAUACAGAUGUGUGUGUAGGUGUGUGUGUGUGAGGAUAUAUAUGUUCUCUCUAUGUGUUCUCUGGAUUUUGUUCUCUAAAAGCAAUGACACCCCAGUAGCAAUGAUCCUACCUAGAGACCAAAUGAUGGUUUCUAAAUAUCUUUCUUUAAUGAGAAGAACUAGGGCUCAUUGGAGAAGUGGUUGAUUCCAGAGUUGGGCGGGGAAAAGACAAGAAGAAUCUGGCAUACCUUGUGGUUCCAGGAAGUAAAGAAAUGCUAAAAAAAAAAAAAAAAA